CUGGCGGCGUGCCUAACACAUGCAAGUCGAACGGGAAAGCGGNGGCAACCCUGUGAGUACAGUGGCGUACGGGUGAGUAACACGUGACUACCUACCCUCGAGUGGGGGAUAACCCCGGGAAACCGGGGCUAAUACCGCAUAACAUCGCAAGAUCAAAGGAGCAAUUCGCUUGAGGAGGGGGUCGCGGCUGAUUAGCUAGUUGGUGAGGUAACGGCCCACCAAGGCGAUGAUCGGUAGCCGGCCUGAGAGGGCGCACGGCCACACUGGAACUGAAACACGGUCCAGACUCCUACGGGAGGCAGCAGUGGGGAAUUUUGCGCAAUGGGGGAAACCCUGACGCAGCAACGCCGCGUGGAGGAUGAAGUCCCUUGGGACGUAAACUCCUUUCGACCCGGACGAUAAUGACGGUACGGGUGGAAGAAGCACCGGCUAACUUCGUGCCAGCA
rnacentral:rRNA from 1 species